UUAAGACCCGGGGCCAAGCAGCCAGCAGGUGCUUGAUUGUGGUGGCCAUUUUAGAGCUCUGGCCGCUCAUAUAAACAGGGCAGUUCGCUGCUAGGAGUCCAGGCAGCAAUAUUGCCUGGCUGAGAGGCUCCAUAACAUCCUGGAGGUACUUUAUGAUGGAACACUUUGUACUACAAUGUUCAUGUACAGAAGAUGCAAGUGCAGUUGGAAAAGAAAGUGCUUCAAACUAUUAUCCACAGCUCUUUGACCAUACUAUAUAUCAAUAUUUUUAUAGUGGUUCUGCUUAAAUGGGGCUGAGCACCAUUGGGUAGUUUAAAAGACUUAUUUAUAGUCCUUCCUGAUCACUUGAAUUUGUGCCUAUCUGAUCCAAGAAAUGCUGCAUGUUUGUCUUUGGCACAGCUUGUGCAAUGUGGAUUUCUCUACACUUGAGAAAAAGGGUAGCUGAAAACACAGAUGUCUCAGUGCAGUGUGAGGGAGUGUUGCUGUGGUGCACUCUAUAUACACCAUCUACCACUACCUUUCGUGUGUGCCCAGAGAAGCCAUAAGCUGGUUUCAGAGACAGAGUGUGUGGAGCAUGUGCCCUCAGUGCACCAGGAACAUCCUCCUAGUAUCUGCUUCCAGGCCCAAAUGGCAUAAUCACCCAAGCUCCCCCUUCACAGAAUAAGUACUUUAUCUCUCUUUCGGAUUACUUGGGAAAACAGAAAGCAUCUCAGCUGUGGCCAAAACUAGCGCAUUUUUGGCGCAGGGAUUCUCAAUCGUUCCUGAUGACCCUGUGCAUGGACUACUGUAUGUUGAAUGAGCCAGAGUAUGUGCAGGAGAGGGAAUGGCUUUACAGCCUAGUGGUUAGGGCACAGUCACUUGGAAGGUGAGUGAUGUUGGUUUAAAUUCCCUCUACCUGAGUGGGUUUCAGCCUCUCUCCCCCUCAUCUCAGCUGAAUAUCUUGACAACAAGACUCUUCGGUAAAAGGGAGGAGGGCCACUAAAUUCUCACCACCCCCUUCAUAUCUCUGUUUUUGUUAUGUUUGGGGGCAUAUUUUCAACAAAACAUUGUGUUAAUUUCCUUUCCAACACCCUACAACUGCAUUUCCAAAGAAUAAAAAAAAUUACCAAAAAAAAUUGCCCAGCUACUAUGACACCUCUCGCCCCAGUAUUUUUUACUGUGACUGCAAGUGAAAGACUCCAUCAAUUCUAGUGAUAUGGAAAAUGGAAAGUCUAUGCACCUUCAGCAUAACUUUUUGGUAGGCAUAAAUUUCAGAUUUCCACUUGAGGUAUAUCAAAGCAUCAGUCCUGAUACCUUUGAAGAAACGGAUGUGGUGAAGCAAUUAUUAAUGAUCUGCUGAUCAAUACUACAGUGAAAGGACACAUAACUUAAGGCAGAAUAUGAAAGAAAUGAAACUUAAAUAGAACUGCAACAAAUGCCAAAGAUGAUCAAGAGUGGAUAUGUAGGACACACUUAUUGACAAAGGAGUCUGACUGAACUGAAGCUUGCUGUACAAUGGAACGACUCUGAAAUGAGGAGACGACUGUACCAAUUAAGUGUUCUGCACAGAAGGCUGAAUGAGUACAACACAGGAUGAUUGGAAAGAAGCUUUCAAGAAUCAGUUAAAAUGUUACUGUAGUACUGGUACUACUGGUACUAACACAGGUGGAGAUUAACAGAGCCAAAGAAUUCAGUCAGCACUCACGUGGCACACAGGUUAUCCUUCUGGCAGAUAAUCUCUUAUCAAAAGGCUGACAUAAGUGCAUCACAGCUCUGCUCAGACCAAGAAAGGAAUGACAACAGUUGGUUUGAUUAUGAGCAAUUUCAUGAAUAAGUCCAUGGGCAGCAAAUGGUCAAAAUAGAUACAAACCAAAACUGCUGGAACUGAUAUUACAGGCACCUUUGUGCAAAGAGCUCCCUAGACUCCAGGAAACAACCAUGAAAUGACAAAAGCUCAAUGUCCAUCAGAUAAUUGAGGUCAGUUUCCACGCUCUCUACCUCAGUCAGUUAAAAGGGAAAGCAAGUUCCAAGCCAAGAUUUUUUCCCUAAGAAAUGUUUGCUGCCAGUCCCUCCUCUUUUUAUACAUAAGAGCACAUAGUUCAAGUAUGGUUUCUGGGACAGUAGCACGAGGGAGAUAGUCUAUCAGGUAGCCAGGAUCCAUGUCCCUUUGCAACUGUAUGUUAUGACAUUUUAAUACUUAGCUUCUCAACAUACUGUUUAGUGUUCACUCGUGUUCUACCAGUUUUACUCCUGUAAAUCAACGCUUCCUUCUGAAAUUAGUCCAGCUGGCAUGAAUGGAAUGGCUAAAGGAAUGUAGAGCUACUCAGGGUACAGACAAACAACUUACAGGGAGUAAAAAGGUAGCAGGGACUCACUGGUGUCAGCUCUGUGGUAAUUGUCUGUGUGCCUGUCCUCACCCCAUUAUAAGUAAAAAAAAAAGCUAAACUUUUAUAGCACAACCAUUUUUCACUGAACCCCCAUGUCAUCUCUAUGUAGCACACUGCAGCUCUGCAUGGGCUUACUUUGAAACUGAAAGCAGUGCAGCCACACUCACACAGCACUUUGGGCCAGCUGAUUAGCACUGCUGAGCAAUAGGGCCAGUUAGCCCACCUCUGUGCUAAUUAGCCUACCCAGGACACACUUCGGAUGCAGUUAGACUCUUUUUAGGGGGUAGUUUGUACAGCAGCUGCUGCUGCCAGGCAUGAUAUGUUUACUAUGUAGAUUUGGGCUCAGUGUGCAUUAGGGUGGUAGACGCAGCCCCUCAAAGGUAAAUUUAUAAUUUUAUAUGAUAAUCAAAUUGCUGAUUACAAAGAAGAGUAAAUUACUAAAUUUGCUGUAAUUUUUGAAGAUGUAAUCAUCAAAAGGAAGCUGCCUUCUUUACAGUUGGAAAAACAAAAUAAGUUCCCAUCAAAAUACAUUGCAAAGCAGAAGUUUGAGUUUUCAAGAAAGUUGCUAGAAUUAAGAGUUGAUCCCUUGCCUUUCAAGCAUGCAGUAAUAUGCUGCAUUCAUGCUCCAGUCCACGGGGCACAUGAACCCAGCCUUAACUCUGGAAGCAUAAGUAGCCUGGAUGCUUCAACUUUCACAGGCUUCAAGCAGUCAUAGAAUCAUAGGAUUGGAAGGGGCCUCAAGAGUCAUCAAGUUGAACCCCUUGUCUCAUUCAUUUCAGUGAGACUAAUCUCAGAAGGUCACAGACUUCCAUGAGACCACUCACAGGCUUUAGAGUUAAGCAAGUAGUUAAGACCCAUGCCAAAUUGGGCCUGCAUAUUUAACCUAACUGGUCAAAAUCUGUUCCUAGGAAGUAUCAGUCAAAUGACAGCUCCUGUUGGUUCUGCAGCAUAUUUACAGCUAUGUAGAUAGCAAACUGAUGAAAGGUAUUUUUCAUAAAUGGUUGUGAAAAGGUAUUUUUACCAUAACCUGCACCUUCAACUCCUGGCUGGGCACUUGGAACAGUGCUGCAAUGGAAAUAUGAAAUAUCGUUAAUUCAGAAAAUGAUGUAAUUAACAUAUGAUAAUUGAUUCAUUUUUCCUAUAAAUGCAAAUGAAUAGAGACUAAGAGCCUGUGGCAAAACUGCUGAAGUAAAAGGGAGGUGUGGGAGAAUGGAGAAAAGAUUUUGAUAUGAAAAUAUACAGUGCUUAACCUUGCUUCUUAAUUUUAGUUGAAACUUCAGGAGAAUUCUGAGCUCUGCACCAGCUCACUGUAUCUCAGUCUGAGACCGUAUCUCAGUCUCUGUUAGCUCCAUAGAAACCUGUCUCUUUUGGAUGAGACCUGACUGGACUUUGUUAAGCUUCCAUCUCAAAUCAGUCAUUAAAUAGGUCUUGAUUUAAGGAAAAUAUACAGCUAUUUGCAGUAGGUAAGACAGGGAAAACUUUCGUAUUUCCUCAAGGACAGGCCUAAAUGACAUAUGAUAGCACUGCUGAAAAUACAUGCAACAUAGUAGAAAGGUCUCAGAGGACAGGCAAUGAUGACAAAUGCCUUAGUAUGUAGACACAGUAAUCAUGAACUGUAGGUAACUUCUUGGGUUGAAAAGUGACCAACUUACCAUUUUCUGUGGCAAACAUUUGCCAAUAGGAAAACCCAGUCACAUAUAUAGUUUAACAGGCAGUGGUCAGAUCCCUAAAACCUCCAGCCCUACAGCCGCCUUCACUGGGAGCAGAGGUUGGCCAUUGAUGACAAUUUCUAAACAUCUCUUCCUUAAAAUCUGUUUGCCACAGUUUCACAUCAUAGCAAUUUUUAUCCAAUCCUUAAGCUCUGGGACCAGGUUCCAUCUUUUAUUAGGUACCUGGGCAGUGACUGGCACACCGGAGCCCUAAAUUUAAUUAGAACUUCUAGGUACUAUAAGAUAUACAAGGAUAAUCUGAUCCAAAUUUUUGGAGGCUGCAGGUGUUUUCAAGAUCAGGCCUUCCCUCACAAAGUUGACUAUCAAAGCUGAACCAAGUUUACAAUUGUCUCAGAAGUUUAUUUAUGCUGAAACACAAAACAAAGGCAAGCCAGGACAGCAAAGGUGAGAUGAAUGCAUUUCAGCUGGAAAGGUUGCAUGUGUCUCUCCUUAAUUUAUAGAUUAUCUACGAUUUAAAAGAGUAAACAGAGUCAUCCUGAGGAUGCAUCAACAUAGCUUUGCGAGCCACUGAAAUCUAGGUCAGAAUUUCAUUUCUGUCAUGAGGGAUCUCAUUAUAUAAAUCAGAGCGUUUGUCAGUUUCAGAAGCAAGUAAAAAAAUAUUUCAAGGCCUGUAUUAAGAUAAAGACCUACAAAACCAAUAGGUAGCACAUCCAUGGACCAAUUUAUAGGUUUAAAUAGUUUGCAUAAAGGCUGCUUUUUUCCCCAAGUUUUUUUUUUUAUAAAUGAGUCAUUACUAAUUAACUGCAGAACCAUAUCCCUUAGUCAUCAGUAACCUCAGUCUUGUUAGGAAGUUUAAUUGUCCAGUUGUGUUCCAAACAAGGCUUGGCAAUAUUUGGUAUCGGUAGCUAAGUUGUCUUUCUGUAUUUGUAUUAAAUUAUUGAAUCAGUAGUUUGAUAGCAGCAUCAUGUAGGCUAUUAAUAGAAGACAUUAUGUGGACUAAUAAAUCCUUAUUACACUGGUUUGGAAUCCUAAUAUAAAUUUUAAAGGAUGUGAAUCCAUUUUGCAUAUAGGUCCCCAUUUUAAGCCUAGUCUUUCAAGCCAGAGAAAACAUAUAAAAGGAAAUAUUUAAAGAAAAGCAAUUCAUUUUCCUCAUAAGUUUCUGUAAGUCUCGUAAGUCUUAAUGCUAAUUACCAGAGACCUCCUUGUAAGAAUGUUAUUGCCAGUAAGUCAACUUCUUGUGCUGCCCUCCCUUCAGUAAGUAAGUUAUAGUCUCAUGGUCUGUUUAUUUAAAUUUUACAAGUUAAUUGAGUGUUUGUGAAAUGUGCCAGAUUGAAAGCCCCCAAAACUGAAGUCUUCUAUGUAUCCACAGAUCAGAUGCAGUGUGGGUUGUGGUAAUACAAGUUUUCCUGCUGUGCCCUGAAAAUAUGUCUCGUCUGAUGUGGAGUGGCCCCCUCCAAGGGUGACUUUAGUUCAGCCUAUUAACUAUUUACUUGAUCUAUCCUCUAGGACUGCCAGUAAGCAUUCCAGUUAUAAUGGUGUUUUUGUGAUGUGGAGGUCGGUCCACUGUGAACUGGCCUGAUGCCAAACACUUAUUCGCAUAAGCCAACAAACAGCUGUCAUGUGGUAAUUACUUGUUGUUGGGGCAGGAUGCAAACUGGUAGAGUGGAUUAAGAUUAAAUGGGACAUGGGUACAAUGAAGAAUGAAGAUGCAAUGCUGAUUACGUAAUUUUCAUCAGCAGUGUGGAAAACCAUAUUAAAAAGUCCCCAAUACUAAAAAUAUGUCAUUUUAUUUCUAACCCAUCUGUCCCUUUUCCUCUUUGAAUGGGUCAGUCCACUUAUCCAUAGAAACAUAGAACUCUUGUUUCUUCUCCAACCCAUAUGGUCAUUCAAAUUCCCUGUUACAACUUCCCCUGGUAUGCAAAAUUGGACCUUUUAGUACAUUUUACAAUGAGCAGGGAAUUCCUAAACUCAUGAUGUUUUACACCCACAGUCACGCCUUGCAAGGUAUAUGUAAAGCAACAGAGCAUCAGGCUCUCUCUGUGUAAUAUGGAUUCACAACUAAAAGUUUAUCAUUUUUUAAAUAACAAGUAGAUAUCAGCACAAAGAUUAAAUGUGUGAAACAGGAAGACUUGAUAUGUACUUACUCAUCUAAGCUUGAUCUGUGUAGACUGUGGAAAUGUAUUUGAAUGAUAUAUUAUGUCAGUAAAUGUAAAACCACUUUGAGGUGGUUCUAUUAGAUGCGACUGAGACUAGAGAUGCGGGAAGCCAAAUUGGCUUCUGCAGGUUCCACCAUGUAAUUCGACCCAAUGAGUGGGAGGAAAAAAGGAAGCUAGGCAGGGGAAGAGAAGCACUUAUAAAUCUGCCUCUGACUUUUUCUAAGGCUGUUUUAUUUUUUCCUGAAAGACAUUUUUCUCUCCCAGUGGGAGAGCUUCACUCCCACUCAUGCUCCUUUUGUAAGGGUUUCAUUUCAGUGCUAACUUUUCUCUUCUUUCCCGAUUGGUGUUUGUCUGGUUUUCUUCUUUCUGAUGCUUUACAUUCUACACUUCUUUCUCCUCCUGCCUGCU